UGCUGCUGUCUGCAUGUAGCCAGCCAGGGUGCAGACUUUCCUCUCACAGGCUCCACUGGGCAGCAGGAUGGCGACGAUGGCCAGCAGCGAGCUGAGGGCCAGCAGGGCACAGCCUCCCGCACACAGCACGGCGCUCGUCUGGAAGGACACACAGGACAGUCAGCAAGGUGGUUCCCUGCCAUCCCCACAACACCUCCCCACCAAUUCCCUUUCUCCUAUCUUGGAGUAAGAAGUGGAGGCUCUGUGUGGGUGCUUCUCCCAAUUCUCCUUCUUCCUGCUGCUCAAAUCCACCAUUGAAUUGCGAGCCCAUGGUUCACUCAUCACUUGGUCCCAGUAUUAGCAUUCGGAUGAUGGUGAUAAUGGCAAAUGUGUUACAUGCAUGAAGGGCUACGUCACUAAUAGAAGUGCCAUUAGGUGCCUGCAAUGCAUGUCAGCGUCUCCACUGAAAGCUGAAACAAAUCUCAUGAUGGUGCCUGCCCCUGUGAGCCCAGCAAUUAGAAGGUGUUUUGCCAACUGAUGCUCCUUGGUGAGGAACCCAUUGUUGCAAAGAUUUAAUGGCAGCUGGCCCCACCAAAACAAUCUUUGGACUUUGAUUUAGCUGCUUCUGCAACAGAGCUUGGAUCUUUAGGCCUGGUAUUCAACCCCAUUUGUACUGUGUGAUGUUGCUGAUGGCCAGGGGAGUGCCUGGUUAGCAGUGUUCUCUGGAUGGGAAAGGAGAGGCAGCAUGGCCCACAGCCUCUCCCAGCCACUGCCCAGUUCUGCUAUUUCAUAUUCUGGUUGUUACAUGCAAGUGGCAUUAGGACCUAAAAGUAGGAAAAGCACUAAACUGCAGCAAAACAGCUCACCCUUGCAUACAGGUGCCUGAUAGCUGCAGUGCUGCAUUUUCUGCCUCCACUGCAGGUGGCAUUUCUGCCUCUGUCACCAGGAUGGUGCUGGCAGCGAGGUGGUCCCCGCAGCAUCAAGGACACAUACGUGCCAGCAUAGUGUGGUUGGGGUGGGGAGGAUCCAUGGCAGGUACCUCCAGCACUCAGCUCAUGGCAGCACUGGCUCCUAGCACUGCUGCUGGGACACCAAGUCCUGUUAUUUCACAGCCUAUAUCAGCUGUGCCAUGCCACAGAGGCAUGGUGGCUCUGAUGAGAAUGCUGCCAGGCAUCACCUCCCUGAGAGCACUUCCCCCAGUGCUAUGCAGCGAUUAAAAAUCAGCAUCUUCUUUAUGAGCUAUUUUUACAUCACAAAUGCAAUGCAAAUGCUGUCCCAGCAAUAAAUUAAUUCCUGACAUGUGAUGGAAAUGACACAGCGGUGCAAGAUACAGCUACUAAAAGAAAUGGGGAGGGUGUUUAGGCAGUGGCGGUGCAACCUGCUCCUCUCCAGUGCCUUUGGAGAUCCACAGUGACAAAAUGCUGCUUUGGGGACACGUGAACAGAGCUGGCUGCUGGCCCUGUGCUCACCCCAGCAGCACCCUCUGUGAGGAUGCAGAGCUGUGAGGGAAUGCAGAUUCAUCAAAAUAGGACUGCUCUGACCGGUGCCUGAAUUUCAUCCUUCACCCAACAACAUGCAAACCACCCUCCUUUGCAGGGACCAUUAAUUAUUUAGAGUGAUGAAUUUUUCAGCAGAAAGGGGUCUUGUGAAGCAGGCCUGCUUCUCUCCUGUGUGAAGCACAUUGUUUUUAAUGAUCUAGGUUCAUAACUAUGUUGGCACAGCUCCCCUAAAAACUUGCAGCUCCUGCUGGAAGCAACCUACGAGCUGCUGUGGCUGCUAAUCCGCACAGAAAGGUGCAAAGGCACAAAGUAUUUUCCAGUGCCAGUAGAAAAGGCACAAAUUGGGUUCAUGCAGGUGUGUGCUGUACUGAAAUAGGAGCCAGGUCUGGGUCAGGUGCUGCCACUGGGGUUUGUACAGGUUGAGUACACCUGUGCAUCCAGUGAGUGGCCAAAAAAUGACCCGAUCCACCCAAUCCUUUUGCAAAAGGGAUUAAGGUCAUGCUUUGAAUGAGCAUGUUAAAACUCAAGAGGGCAGGAGGCACGGGUAAAUGGUGAGCAUCCUGACACUGAAGGGCAAGGGAUGCUGACCUCCUUAGGGCAGAGGGCAUAAAAGAACAGAGUGGUUUUGCAGUGUGGUUCAAGUGAUCACAGUGCUGCAGCUGCCUCAAAAUGGGUGGCUGAAGGGAAAGGCAGAGGGAGUUUCAGGGCAGGUUGUGAGCAGCCCUGCUGCAAGUUGCUGGUGUGUGAUAUUCAGAGCUGCUAAAACACAGGCUGUGAGCUUCUUUCUCCAAAACGUUGGAGUUAUCGCCCAUAAUCCUGGAUACGUUUUUGUAAAAUAGAAUUUCUGCUUUUGUUGUUCCCUUUGCAGGUGCUUGUCUGGGAAAGGAACCCAAGUGCUCCUGCCUGGUGCUGGAAUCACACCUGCAGAUCAACAGCUGCUUCCUAAGAAAAUUAAGCCCUAAGCUGGAAAGAGUUCAUGGAGCAAAGAUCUGACACGUGCUGUAGCUGUGCCAUUCACUAAGCGAUAAAUCUGCUGAAGACGCCAUUUCAUUCACCAAAAAGUCAAAAUUAAAAUGUCACACAACAGCCACCCUGGGAGAAUCACUUAAUGUCCUUAAUGAAAAGUUUAAAAUACAGUUAGCUCAUCUUGCGAAACCAGCAUCCGUGAUCUUUGCAUCUUAAAGUGAAAAGGGCAAAAGGAGAGAACAAAUUCCAGUGUGUUGGUGCUGAGAAAUGGGAUCCAGUCUUUGGCUUGACAGAGACAAACUGCUCUGUCCUUUGCAUUGGAUCUUUCCUGUUGAGAGGGAAGCUGGGCAGAGCUCCUGCCAUCACGUCCUGUGUGUUGGCAUAUGCCGUGCCAUCCAUUUGUUCAUUAAUGCUAUUUAUUAAUUGCAGCUUGACCAUCCUGAGAGCUGUCAUCUCCGAUGGGGGCCACAGUUUACAGCAGCAGGCUUAAGGCAAAGUCACAGUCCUGCUGAAGUGCUCAAGCAUCUUUGAAAGGAGGGCAGAGAGUAAAUACAGAUAAUAAUUAGGAAAGGAAGGCAGGGGCUAACUGAGAAAAGGAAAGAAGGAUGCUGGGUGGUGGUUGCAAAUGUUGGCAGCUGGGUCCAGCUCUACUGUGGGGCUUGAGGUGCUGCUGGGUGGAGGAGGCAUCACCACUGCUGUUGGAGAGCAAAGGAAGGGGGUUGGGGGAAUCCACUGCAAAUGCUCAGGCUGGUGUCUGCAGGACAGCAGCAGCAAUGGAGCAGCAAAGCAACCUUCUCUCCAUCCCGGAGGGAUCUGCACGCUCCCGCACCCUGUAAGAGUCGCUGCCAUCAGCACCAUGUGGCCACGAGGUUUGUCACUCCUCCCAGAAGUUUCUGUGAGUUUUGCUGUGAAAUCCCCACUCUCCAUCCAAACCAAAGCAGGUGAGGCUGCCCUGUCCUGAAAUAGCAGUGCCUUCACCUUGGGCAAAGGUGUGAGAGGAGAUCUUGGUAGAGAACCAUGAAUGUCCACCUGGGCACAAGGAAAAGAGAUCUGUCUCUGCAGGAAGCUGCGUGCCCAGAGGUGGGUGGAUCGAGGCUCACAGCUUGUUCAUAUUUCCCCCACACGAGUCACAGAAACAAACAUCCGCCAUCUGGUCGGCAUUAAAGCGGCGGCCAGGAAGAGGAUCCCACACGUCCUCAUCUUCUCCUCCCCAGCAAUUACCUUCCUUUUGGCACCAUCUGAGAGCUUUCUCCUUCCUAUUUGAUAUUCCGUCUCCAUCCUGCUCCUAUGCAGAUGCUGUUCCCUUCCCAGCAGCACUGGCAGUGCCUGGUGUCAUCCAAUGGGGACGUGGGAGCAAGUCCAGCCUCCUCAAACCGGCCCUGCAGUCACACGGGGCUUGGGGCAGAAUGCUGCUGGGGGUGGCCAGUGUCUAAGAGUUCUCUGUUCUGGGGUGUGUGCUGAGACACAGGGAUGGAGAGGAAGCAAUGAGUCUCCUUUCCUCUUUUCUUUCCCUUUGACUGAAGGCUUUGGUGGAUGGGGAGCUGUCUGAACACGGGAUUCUGCUCCCCAGCCCUGACUCAGCUGCUCGCACUCAAAAUUCAGCAAAAACCCCUGACAGCCACGGCUAAGCCAGUCCUGGCCUUUCAGGUAAAAUAACCUUCCCACUUGUAAAUUAAUCAGAGUUUUCAACACAAGCACCAGAAAGUUUAAUGCUCAAGCUGACUGAAGAAAACCGCAAAA